UACGGAGGGUGCAAGCGUUAAUCGGAAUUACUGGGCGUAAAGCGCACGCAGGCGGCUUUGUAAGUCAGAUGUGAAAUCCCCGGGCUCAACCUCGGAACUGCAUUUGAUACUGCAAAGCUUGAGUCUCGGAGAGGUGAGUGGAAUUCCAGGUGUAGCGGUGAAAUGCGUAGAUAUCCGGAAGAACACCGGUGGCGAAGGCGGCUCACUGGACGAGGACUGACGCUGAGGUGCGAAAGCGUGGGGAGCAAACAGG
rnacentral:rRNA from 1 species